AUUGAACGCUGGCGGCAUGCCUAACACAUGCAAGUCGAACGGCAGCACGAUGUGUGGCAAUACACAUGGGUGGCGAGUGGCGGACGGGUGAGUAGAAAGUAGGGAUCUGCCUUAUAGAUUGGGAUAACUUGGGGAAACUCGAGCUAAUACCGGAUAAGCACUACGGUGGAAAGCAUGGGACCGAAAGGCCAUGCGCUAUAAGAUGAACCACGCGGAUUAGCUAGUUGGUUAGGUAAAGGCUGACCAAGGCGAAGAUCCGUAGCUGGUCUGAGAGGAUGAUCAGCCACACUGGGACUGAGACACGGCCCAGACUCCUACGGGAGGCAGCAGUGGGGAAUAUUGGACAAUGGGGCAACCCUGAUCCAGCGAUGCCGCGUGUGCGAAGAAGGCCUGCGGGUUGUAAAGCACUUUAGUUGGGGAAGAAAGUUCAAGAGUCGAAUAGGCUUUGAUUUGACGUUACCCAAAGAAUAAGCACCGGCUAACU
rnacentral:rRNA from 1 species